rnacentral:tRNA from 1 species
GCCUGGGUGGCUUAGUCAGUUAAGCAUCUGCCUUCAGCUCAGGUCAUGAUCUCAGGGUCCUGGGAUCAAGUCCCAGGUUGGGCU